UACGGAAGGCAGCAGUGGGGAAUAUUGCACAAUGGGCGCAAGCCUGAUGCAGCCAUGCCGCGUGUAUGAAGAAGGCCUUCGGGUUGUAAAGUACUUUCAGUCGUGAAGAAGGUGUUAAGGUUAAUAACCUUAGCAAUUGACGUUAGCGACAGAAGAAGCACCGGCUAACUCCGUGCCAGCAGCCGCGGUAAUACGGAGGGUGCGAGCGUUAAUCGGAAUUACUGGGCGUAAAGGGCACGCAGGCGGUUAAUUAAGUUGGAUGUGAAAUCCCCGGGCUUAACCUGGGAAUGGCAUUCAAGACUGGUUAGCUAGAGUCUUGUAGAGGGGGUAGAAUUCCAUGUGUAGCGGUGAAAUGCGUAGAGAUGUGGAGGAAUACCGGUGGCGAAGGCGGCCCCUGGACAAAGACUGACGCUCAUGUGCGAAAGCGUGGGGAGCGAAACAGGGAUUAGAUACC
rnacentral:rRNA from 1 species